CUGGGCUGGGAUGGCACCUAGGAAACAACACCACGAGGACAGAGCUCACCUUCCCCAGUGGAGACAACAGUUGAAGGACAGACUUUUCCCUGAGGAAGCUUGUGGUCCCUCUGAUUAAGUGGUUCUCAACAGUUCAACAGUUCUUUACAAAAAUUGUGAAAUGUUUAGGACCACUUGACCAGUCAGACAAAUGCUGCCAGUUUGGGAAAAUGCUGCCUUCGAAUGGAUCUUUAAAAAGGAAAACGACUCUCAAGGCCUUUAUGUAAAAGCAACUGUGUGAUUUCCUCUGGUUCUCUGUUUCUUUACUGUCUUGCUCUGUCUUUUACUCUCAUUUUGGCCUCUUGUGUUUCAUUACCAACUGCAGUCCAGGAGUUUGGGGGACUGUAAAAGUCAUCAGGCUUUAGUCAUUUAACUUUGCUGGCAAACAUAGACAUUUUUAACAGCUCUGCUGCUGCAGUAACAUUCGUCUUUCCUCUUUUUUACUGGUGCCUCUAUUCAGAGGUACUGAUUAAAACAAGUCCAUAAAGAACCAUUUAUCUCUGUUGAGUCCGUAAAGGAUGACAGGCCGUGAGUCUUCAUGGAUGGUUGCUAUCCAAAGUACUGAAACUCUAGUAUAUCUGUUAUCAUUUUCCACCUUAUUUUCCAGACUAGAAAGAGAAUAAUUCUGUCUAUUUUUGGCCAAUGAAGAUAAAGAAUUAGCAUAUGAUAUUUUUGUGUUAAUAUUACUGCUUCAUUGUUGAAUAAUAUGCUCCUGUAGUUGUUUACAGUUGUGCUUAUUUUAACUCCUUUAUAUACAGUUGGAUAGUGUAAGCAACAAUGAGUCAUAUUCAGAGUCUCGUGAGAACCCUGUAUCUCUAGAAAGUCAACUUUUCAUGAGCUCAGAAAAACAACCCUGUUUGACACUCUUCUCACCGAAACCUGACAUACACUGCAUUGUCCUGGAUAAUGAGUUUUAUUUUUAUUGUUAUUUAUUAUAUUAUUCCUAUUUUUAUUUAUGUAUCUAUGAACUUUUCCUGUAUCUUUUUCUGUACAUGUUAUUUUUAUUUUUUUGUUAGCUGCCUGUGACCCUGGAUGAAAACAGGUUAGAGUGGUAUCAGGGAGGGGUUGAUUGUAACACUUAUUUCCUUGAUGUGCUGGCCAAGUUUACAUGCUACGUAUAUGUAUAAUUGACUGUCCUCUGUAUAUUGAAAAAUACUAAUAAAAAUAGUUAAAAAAAA